AGCAGCCGCCGCGGGAAUACGGAGGGUGCAAGCGUUAUCCGGAUUUAUUGGGUUUAAAGGGUCCGUAGGCGGACUUAUAAGUCAGUGGUGAAAGCCUGUCGCUUAACGAUAGAACUGCCAUUGAUACUGUAAGUCUUGAGUAUAUUUGAGGUAGCUGGAAUAAGUAGUGUAGCGGUGAAAUGCAUAGAUAUUACUUAGAACACCAAUUGCGAAGGCAGGUUACCAAGAUAUAACUGACGCUGAGGGACGAAAGCGUGGGUAGCGAACAGGAUUAGAUACCCCAGUAGUCCCUGUCUCUUAUAC
rnacentral:rRNA from 1 species